GGGUGUUAUCUUAAGGAUGCAGCAGAACUCACCUAGCUGCCAUUUCUCAAGGAAGAUCUGAAAUCUGACAAAUAAGGAAUAAACCACUAUGGGAAUUGCUCACCCCUCCUGCCACAAACUUUAAAAAGAAAAAAACAGCAGAGCCUGAAACAAAGUAGAACUACCCUCCUGAGAUGUCCCACAAGAAUAGCAAGUCAUGGCAGGAAGCACAAUUUUGUGAUGAGCACCAAAGCAAACCACCACGUCUAGUUCUUUCCCCUCAUUUCUUGAGAGAAUUUAUUUUAAGAGCAUGAUGAAAAUUGCCAUUUGCAGUUACUAUUAACACCACAGUAAAGUUCAAAAGGUGGUAUGUUAGUUACAAGAAAAUGGCACCAAACAACACUGUCAAACAUUCAGAUUUUCACAAAUACAGGUGAAUAUUUUGGCAAAAGUGCAUUCUUCACCAAAAAUCUUAAUACAAAGCAUUUAGGACAUCAAGUAUUCAAUCUCCCAAGACUCUUGUUCCGUUAAACACAAAGUUAAAUGAGCUUUCAACUUUUCUCCAAACCCAAUUAUUUUAUAAACUACAUAGUCUACACAAAGGAAUAUCCUGCACAAUUUACGGUAUUGAUCUUAUUUGUAAGCUGCUUAGUAUCUGUAUCUCUCUAGGUGGUGUGCACAUUGUUAAAAGAAUACAGCAAAAAUAAAAACGACACAAUAAAAACAAAGCCGUUUAAGAAAAACUAUUAUUUUAACUAAAAGCCUUCUCAGGUGCACAUUUUAGCAGGGGAGGGUGGUGAAGGUGAUAGAGAAGCUCUUCUUUUGACAAGAGGAACGUUCCAAGCCCUGGGGCAGUCAUAAAGAAGGCCUGGUCCCAAGUUGAACUCAAAUGUGCGGGUGGCAACUGUAAAAAAACUUGCUCAAAUGGAUCUCAGUGGUGAAUAUCUUCUACCUCAUAAUAGAUCUAAAUCUCUAAAUAGUUGAGCAGGGGCAUGGCUACCAUGCUUUCACAGCUACUAUUUAGCAGCAGAAUAAAUCUCUACCAUGUUACCAGUUGCCUGGGAAGAUAGCAGGGGAUGGGAGAAGAGAGCAAUGCAAAAUACACUAGUAGCUGUGCAAAAAUAUCACAUACUGCCCUGACCUUUUUAUGUGGCCCAAACCAGAUGGAUUCUAACACACUUAUCUCAUCCUUCCUCCAAGAGGUCACAGGGCAAUAACAGCCUCAAUGUCCCCUGUCCCUCAGAUACGUUGCAUUAGCAGAGGGGUAGUCUGGAUGUCAACCAAUGACUGGCUCAAGGUCACCUAGUGGGCUUCAUGGCUGAGGAAGAAUUUGAACCCAGAUCUCCCUGGUCCAAACCUACUCCAAACUGCUCUAAGCACUACACCAGGCUGGUGUAACUUUGAGUGAACUUCAAGCUUGGGUAGGGAUUUGAAUCCAGGUCUUCCCUCUUCAAGUCCAACAUUUCAUCUACCACAGCACAACUGGUUAGUAAAAGCCUACACCUUUAGCUUUAUAUAACUACAUUUUCCAAUGUAUUUCUAACAAACCACAGCCGUUGGGAUGCUUCAGACCUCAGGGAUCAUUGCAAAUAAUAAACCCUUAAGCAAUCAAAUACAGUUUAAGGACUCAAAUAAAAUGUACACAUUACUGAUGAUUUCUUGAGAGUCCAAGUCAGGCCUGCACAACUUGUGACCCAUUCAAGCCAAAUUCAGGCCAGCAGCCUUGUAUGAUGGCUCAACAAAAGCUCAAUAAACCCCCUGUCUUUUUAUCAUCUGCUUGGAAUUGCAAAAAUAGGUACCUGCCAAAGACCUGGAACAUUCCCAGGCUUUACCAUGGCUUUACUGCGAGUUUGAAUUUGCCCCCCAAAAGUGGAUUUUUUUAACCUCAGAAAUAAAUCGGGCUACGCUCUAAUGCGCAAUGAAAAAAACAAAUUGUGUCUAGAGUGUUCCCUGAUAGCUCACAGGGACUUCAGGGUAAAUCUGGCCAAUAUGUGAACGCACACCCUCCAUUCUGGAGGAGAAGCAAGCUAAAAGGUGGUCUCGGAUUUGUUGUUGAGAACUCCCAGAAUGAUUUUUCUGGGUGACUUCAACAUCUAUGCUGAGGCUGCCUUGUCUGGGGUGGCUCAGUAUUUCAUGGCUGCCAUGACAACCAUGGAGCUGUCCCAACAUGUUGUCAGCCCAACACAUGAAUUGGAGCACACUCUGGAUUUGUUUUUGUUUUUUUCAACUGGACAGGAAGAUGGUGAUCUGAAAGUGGGGGGAUAUGUCAACUAUGCCCUUGUCAUGGUCAGAUCACUUCUUUCUGAGAUUUAGAGUCUUAGCGGCUACACCUUUCUGCAAGGGUGGGGGACUUAUAAAAAUGGUUCCCUCCCAGAGACUGAUGGACUACAAUCUAUUCCUGGGGGUUCUGGGGGAUUUUCCAGCUGGUAUCACAGGAACCCCUGUUGAAGCUCUAGUUGCUCUCUGGAAUGGAGAGGUGACUCGCGCAGUCAACACGAUUGCUCCCAAGUGCCCUCUCCUGCAAAGCAGAGCCCGUGCAGCACCUUGGUAUACACCUGAGCUGAGGGUGAAGCAGCAAGCUGGGAGACAGCUGAAACGUAAGUGAAGGAAAACUUGGGGGUGAGUCUGAGCAAACACAGGUUAGGGCUCAUUAUCAAGCCUACUCUGUGGCAGUUAUGGAACAGAAGAAACCCGUUUUUUUCAUCCUCUCAAGGUCAUCCAGCGGGGCUCUUCCAGGUGGUGCAGGGUCUUUUGAAAUCUGGCCGUGGGCAGGAUACAUUAGAACCCUCAGUAGCACAAUGUGAUGCAUUUGCACAGCACUUUGAGGGUAAAGUUACUCUCAUUCGUCAUGAGUUGGAUACCACGGCUGAUGCAGAAUCAAUGAGAGAGGUGCCCAGAGUAAAACCUGGCCUAGUUUUGCCAGAGGAGUUUUGAUUGGUCCCUGAGGAUGUGGACAAGGUGUUUAGUCGGGAUCGGCCAACCAUGUGCAUGCUUGACCCUUGCCCUUCAUGGCUUAUUAAACCUAGUAAGGAGGAAAUUUUUAGCUGGGUCCAGUAGGUUCUAAAUGCCUCAUUGAAAGAGGGAGUGGACCCAGCUUCAUUGAUGCAAGCUGUUAUUUGACCACUCCUAAAUAAACUCAGUCUGGACCCAGAGGAUGUAAACAGCUAUAGGCCUGUGGCCAAUAUUCCCUUCCUGGGCAAGGCGCUUGAGUAUGCCGUGGCUGACGAGCUCCAGAAAUUCUUGGAAGAAACUAGAUCCAUUUCAAUCAGGCUUCAGGCCCGGCUUUAGAACAGAAACUGCUUUGGUUGCCCUGUGGGAUGACCUAUGCAGAGAGAGAGAUGGGGGAGUGCAACCAUGUAAAUUCUCUUGGAUCUCUCAGCGGCUUUCAAUACCAUUGGCCAUGGUAUCUUUUUGGAUAGGCUGGCCGAGUUGGGUGUGGGAGGCACUGCUUGGAAGUGGUUCUACUCCUACCUCAAGGCCCAUUCCCAAAAGGUGGUGCUGGAGAACUACUGCUCAACCCCUUGGCAGUUAUUCUAUGGGGUUCCACAAGAUUCAAUUCUUUCUCCUAUUCUGUUUAACAUCUAUAUGAUGCUGCUGGGAGAGAUCAUCAGGAGAUUUGGCUUGAGGUGUCAUCAAUAUGCAGAUGACACUCAGUUGUAUCUCUCUUUUUCAUCAGAUGCAGGUGAAGCGGUGACUGUCCUGAAUCGGUGCUUUGAUGCAGUAAUGGACUGGAUGAAGACUAAAAUCCUGCCAACCUGAAUCCAUGGUACACAUUAAUUUUCCUGAAAUACGCCGACUUACAAGCCAGUCUUUCCAGGAGCUGGCAAGUAUCCAUCACUGCUUUUUCUUCAAGGUCCAGAGAAGCAAGGGGGCCAGUGGGGACGCUGAUGGUCAGGAAGAAGUUUGCACCCACCAUCUCAUCUUUCUCAGCUUUGCGCUUGCCCUGCUUCCAGGCUUUCUCAUCAGUGCUGGGACAGGUGAGGAAAUGUUGGAAGGCAUCACACUGGGCCAACACG